AACGAACGCUGGCGGCGUGCUUAACACAUGCAAGUCCUACGAGAAAGUCCCUUCGGGGAUGAGUAAAGUGGCGAACGGGUGAGUAAUACGUGGGUAACCUGCCUUUACGACUGGGAUAACAUUCCGAAAGGAGUGCUAAUACCGGAUAAGACCACGAUACGGGAGUAUUGUGGGAAAACGAUGGCCUCUGACUUAAGCUAUCGCGUAGAGAUGGGCCCACGGCCUAUCAGCUUGUUGGCGGGUAACGCCACAAGGCUUCGACGGGUAGCCGGCCUGAGAGGGUGAACGGCCACACUGGAACUGAGACACGGUCCAGACUCCUACGGGUGGCAG
rnacentral:rRNA from 1 species